GUUGGGUAGGGGAGCGUUCUGUAAGCCUGUGAAGGUGUGUCGUGAGGCAUGCUGGAGGUAUCAGAAGUGCGAAUGCUGACAUAAGUAACGAUAAAGCGGGUGAAAAGCCCGCUCGCCGGAAGACCAAGGGUUCCUGUCCAACGUUAAUCGGGGCAGGGUGAGUCGACCCCUAAGGCGAGGCCGAAAGGCGUAGUCGAUGGGAAACGGGUUAAUAUUCCCGUACUUGGUGUUACUGCGAAGGGGGGACGGAGAAGGCUAUGUUGGCCGGGCGACGGUUGUCCCGGUUUAAGCGUGUAGGUGUGUGUUCCAGGUAAAUCCGGUUCACUUUAACACUGAGGCGUGACGACGAGGCACUACGGUGCUGAAGCAACAAAUGCCCUGCUUCCAGGAAAAGCCUCUAAGCAUCAGGUAACAUCAAAUCGUACCCCAAACCGACACAGGUGGUCAGGUAGAGAAUACCAAGGCGCUUGAGAGAACUCGGGUGAAGGAACUAGGCAAAAUGGUGCCGUAACUUCGGGAGAAGGCACGCUGACACGUAGGUGAAGUGAUUUACUCAUGGAGCUGAAGUCAGUCGAAGAUACCAGCUGGCUGCAACUGUUUAUUAAAAACACAGCACUGUGCAAACACGAAAGUGGACGUAUACGG
rnacentral:rRNA from 1 species